UACGUAGGGGGCUAGCGUUGUCCGGAAUUAUUGGGCGUAAAGAGCGUGUAGGCGGCCAGGUAGGUCUGCUGUGAAAACUCGAGGCUUAACCUCGAGAUGUCGGCGGAAACCAUCUGGCUAGAGUCCGGAAGAGGAGAGUGGAAUUCCUGGUGUAGCGGUGAAAUGCGCAGAUAUCAGGAAGAACACCCGUGGCGAAGGCGGCUCUCUGGGACGGUACUGACGCUGAGACGCGAAAGCGUGGGGAGCGAACAGG
rnacentral:rRNA from 1 species